CCUACGGGAGGCAGCAGUGAGGAAUAUUGGUCAAUGGACGAGAGUCUGAACCAGCCAAGUAGCGUGAAGGAUGACUGCCCUAUGGGUUGUAAACUUCUUUUAUCUGGGAAUAAAAUGUUCCACGUGUGGGCUUUUGUAUGUACCAUAUGAAUAAGGAUCGGCUAACUCCGUGCCAGCAGCCGCGGUAAUACGGAGGAUCCGAGCGUUAUCCGGAUUUAUUGGGUUUAAAGGGAGCGUAGGUGGAUUGUUAAGUCAGUUGUGAAAGUUUGCGGCUCAACCGUAAAAUUGCAGUUGAAACUGGCAGUCUUGAGUACAGUAGAGGUGGGCGGAAUUCGUGGUGUAGCAGUGAAAUGCUUAGAUAUCACGAAGAACUCCGAUUGCGAAGGCAGCAAACUGGACUGCAACUGACACUGAGGCUCGAAAGUGUGGGUAUCAAACAGGAGUAGAGACCCUUGUAGUC
rnacentral:rRNA from 1 species